GAGAGGUAUCCGUCUUGAGGAAGUCUCCGGUUGCUAGGAGACUAAACGCGUUGAUGCCCACCUCUCAUUUCGAACUUUCCAGCUGAUUUUACCCGCCAGCCCUAACAUCCCACGGCUGCUCACGAGUCCCAGCACUUUGCCGCACGGACAUCUCUGUCUACCGCUGGGAGAGCCCUGCCUUGCCUCCGUUGCGGGUCCCGGCGACUGUGCCGCACGGCUCCUUUGUUCACCGCCGGGAGAACUCAGAGUGACCUCCGCUAUUAGGUCUGCCCGUACACCGCUGCAGGUGAUUGCCGGAGGCUGUGUGGGACGGCAGCAGCCAGCGUUAAUUACAUCCUGGAGACGAACAGUGUCUCUGUAGCAAGGCGGCCGCUUCUCAUUAUUACAGCAGCAGCUACAUGGUAGCAUACCAUUUACACCACAUGCAAUUUACUAUCAAAAAGGACCCUGAUUGCAUUAUCUACAGGAACCAGCACAUGGGGGAAUGUACCCAUGCUUCAACAGUUUUACCCAGGAUACACUUCUGCAAAACCACUCCAGUAUUGGACCAGUUUACCCCACUCUACCAUGGACGUCCUACUUGUGAUGUGGACCUGAACCACCGCCAUGUUAGAGUCACUCUUUCAGUCUUGCGGAGUAUCCUUCCCAAGGUGCAGGAACCAGCGUGGAUGAUGGGACCGGACAGUUCCCCUGCUGUACCAUGGGCGACCUACUUGUGAUGUGGACCUGAACCUCUGCCAUGUAGCAGACACCCCCCCUCAGGUCUUGCGGAGUAUCCUUCCCAAGGUACAGGAACCAGCGUGGAUGUCAAGGGACAAGACAGUUCCCCUGCUGUACCAUGGGCGACCUACCACAAUACCACUGCAUCUCUGAAAUGCCAUAUUUUACAUUUUAUCAACUAAUAAUUUAAAGAAAAACCACACAAAACUUCUCAUUUUAAAAAUUUAUUGAAGAAUUAAAAUUAUU